rnacentral:rRNA from 1 species
GAUGAACGCUGGCGGCGUGCCUAAUACAUGCAAGUCGAGCGAACAGACGAGGAGCUUGCUCCUCUGAAGUUAGCGGCGGACGGGUGAGUAACACGUGGAUAACCUACCUAUAAGACUGGGAUAACUUCGGGAAACCGGAGCUAAUACCGGAUAAUAUAUUGAACCGCAUGGUUCAAUAGUGAAAGACGGUUUUGCUGUCACUUAUAGAUGGAUCCGCGCCGCAUUAGCUAGUUGGUAAGGUAACGGCUUACCAAGGCAACGAUGCGUAGCCGACCUGAGAGGGUGAUCGGCCACACUGGAACUGAGACACGGUCCAGACUCCUACGGGAGGCAGCAGUAGGGAAUCUUCCGCAAUGGGCGAAAGCCUGACGGAGCAACGCCGCGUGAAUGAUGAAGGUCUUCGGAUCGUAAAACUCUGUUAUUAGGGAAGAACAAAUGUGUAAGUAACUAUGCACGUCUUGACGGUACCUAAUCAGAAAGCCACGGCUAACUACGUG